UACGUAGGGGGCAAGCGUUGUCCGGAAUCAUUGGGCGUAAAGAGCGUGUAGGCGGCCCGAUAAGUCCGCUGUGAAAGUCCAGGGCUCAACCCUGGAAUGCCGGUGGAUACUGUCGGGCUCGAAUCCGGAAGAGGUGAGUGGAAUUCCUGGUGUAGCGGUGGAAUGCGCAGAUAUCAGGAGGAACACCGAUGGCGAAGGCAGCUCGCUGGGACGGUACUGACGCUGAGGCGCGAAAGCGUGGGGAGCGAACAGG
rnacentral:rRNA from 1 species